rnacentral:rRNA from 1 species
GACGAACCGUACGAACGUUAUUCGGAAUCACUGGGCUUAAAGGGUGCGUAGGCGGCGUGGAAAGUAGGGUGUGAAAUCCCUCGGCUCAACCGAGGAACUGCGCUCUAAACUACCGUGCUCGAGGGAGAUAGAGGUGAGCGGAACUUAGGGUGGAGCGGUGAAAUGCGUUGAUAUCCUAAGGAACACCGGUGGCGAAAGCGGCUCACUGGAUCUCUUCUGACGCUGAGGCACGAAAGCUAGGGUAGCGAACGGG